AGGACGAACGCUGGCGGCGUGCUUAACACAUGCAAGUGGAGCGACGAACCAGGGCUUGCCCUGGGGCAGAGCCGCGAACGGGUGAGUAACACGUGGGUUACCUGCCUCGAUGACCGGGACAACCCGAGGAAACUCGGGCUAAUACCGGAUGUGCCCGCAAGGGGAAAGGAAGCUUCGGCCUCCGCAUCGAGAUGGGCCCGCGGCCCAUUAGCUUGUUGGUGAGGUAACGGCUCACCAAGGCUUCGAUGGGUAGCUGGUCUGAGAGGACGAUCAGCCACACUGGGACUGAGACACGGCCCAGACUCCUACGGGAGCAGCAGUGGGGAAUCUUGCGCAAUGCGCGAAAGCGUGACGCAGCAACGCCGCGUGGGGGAAGAAGGCUUUCGGGUUGUAAACCCCUUUCAGUUGGGACGAAGCUUCUCCGGUGAAUAGCCGGACGGAGUGACGGUACCUUCACAGAAGCACCGGCUAACUACGUGCUAGCGGCCGC
rnacentral:rRNA from 1 species